ACGAACGCUGGCGGUGUGCUUCAUACAUGCAAGUCGAACGAAGAGGCCUUUCGGGGCACUUCAGUGGCGGACGGGUGAGUAACACGUAGGUAACGUGCCCUAUCCUGGGGGAUAACACCUCGAAAGAGGUGCUAAUACCGCAUAAGCUAAAGGUUGCAAUACUUUUAGUGAAAGAAUUUCGGGAUAGGAUCGGCCUGCGUCGGAUUAGCUUGUUGGUAGGGUAAAGGCCUACCAAGGCAAUGAUCCGUAGUUGGUCUGAGAGGAUGACCAGCCACAGUGGAACUGAGACACGGUCCACACUCCUACGGGAGGCAGCAGUAGGGAAUAUUGCGCAAUGGGCGAAAGCCUGACGCAGCAACACCGCGUGUAGGAUGAAGCCUUUCGGGGUGUAAACUACUGUCAGCUGGGAAGAAACAUGACGGUACCAGCAGAGGAAGCAUCGGCUAACUACGU
rnacentral:rRNA from 1 species